rnacentral:rRNA from 1 species
AUGGAGCCGUCAAGCAUGUGCGUGCAGUUGGGUACCUGCAAUGGAGUCCUGGUGCGCGGUGAGGGCGCGGUGCAUCUCGACGAGCUGCUCGCAGAUGGUGGCGUAGAUGGAGAUCUGCUUCCGGAGCACCUCCAUCUGCUCGUCCGUCAUCACCUUGACGUACCCCAGCGCCUCGCCCCUCUCCUCCGCCGGCUCGCCGGCCACCGCCGCCGCCGCCGCCGCGGCGGAGGCCUUGUCCCACUCCAUGGUCAGCCCGCUCACUCGCAAAAAAAGGAGGCACACAGGCUGGCUCUGGGGAGGAAAGAGGCAGGAAGGAUGGGAUUUUUGGAAAGAAAGAAAAGGACGGGAUCCUGGUGCCGUGGAAACGGAAGGAAAUCCGCUCGGCCGAUUCCGAAUCCCGGCUGCGGCGGGGCGGUGGAGGCUCGCGAAAGGAAAGAGCAAGAUGGAUACGGCGCCUUUCCCAGUUUUCCUCCAGCCGUCUGGGGUAUGUGCGUACGUGAUUGUUGGGAACGAAGUGUGCUGCCGGAGAACUUUGGCGGAGGCGCGGGUGGGGCUCGGGGACGGGGCCGGAGGUGCUGGCGGAGGCAGCUCUGGGGCCGGCGCGGGUGGAGCUCGGGGGGCGGGGCGUGGGGCGCAGGAUUGUGGGUGGGCGCGGGCCGGAGUUUGGGCUCGGGGUGGAGCCGCCGGAAGGAAACAGGUCUGCAAGAAGAAGUGCGAGGGAAUGGAGAAAGAAGAAGAGGUGUCUGCGACAGAGGAGCCGAAGAAGAAGAAGAAGGGGCAGAAAAAAAAGCCGACAGCUCGUGCCAAGGCUUGCAGCUUUGGAUUGGGAAAAGCUGGACAGAGAAACCAGGCAGGGAACUAUACUCUAGUAGUACUACUCUGGCUCUCUCUCUCUCUCCCUGGCUAUUUUGUCUUGGAGGUAGUGGCACUGGCUCAGGCUCAGCACUCACUCGCCUCCUCGCAGUGCUGCCGCUGGCUUCAAGAACGCCAUGGCCAUCCCAUGCACGGCCGAGAGAAUUAAUUUGA